GAGUUUGAUUCUGGCUCAGGCAUGAACGCUGGCGGUCUGCUUAACACAUGCAAGUCGAACGGUCUCUUCGGAGAUAGUGGCGGACGGGUGAGUAACGCGUGAGAAUCUACCUCUAGGACGGGGACAACAGAAGGAAACUUCUGCUAAUCCCGGAUGAGCCGUCAGGUCAAAGAUUAAUCGCCUAGAGAUGAGCUCGCGUCUGAUUAGCUAGUUGGUGGGGUAAAAGCUCACCAAAGCAACGAUCAGUAGCUGGUCUGAGAGGAUGAUCAGCCACACUGGGACUGAGACACGGCCCAGACUCCUACGGGAGGCAGCAGUGGGGAAUUUUCCGCAAUGGGCGAAAGCCUGACGGAGCAAGACCGCGUGGGGGAGGAAAGCCUUUGGGUUGUAAACCCCUUUUCUCAGGGAAGAAGAAAGUGACGGUACCUGAGGAAUCAGCCUCGGCUAACUCCGUGCCAGCAGCCGCGGUAAUACGGAGGAGGCAAGCGUUAUCCGGAAUGAUUGGGCGUAAAGCGUCCGCAGUGGUUCGUCAAGUCUGCUGUUAAAUCCAGUAGCUUAACUACUGACCAGCAGUGGAAACUGACGA
rnacentral:rRNA from 1 species